GACGAACCGUGCGAACGUUAUUCGGAAUCACUGGGCUUAAAGCGCGUGUAGGCGGGUUCGAACGUCCGGAGCUGAAAGCCCCCGGCUCAACCGGGGAAGUGGCACGGAUACGGCGAGCCUGGAGGGGGGUAGGGGGGCCUGGAACUUCCGGUGGAGCGGUGAAAUGCGUUGAGAUCGGAAGGAACGCCCGUGGCGAAAGCGAGGCCCUGGACCCUUUCUGACGCUGAGACGCGAAAGCCAGGGGAGCGAACGGG
rnacentral:rRNA from 1 species